UCUGGUGGAGAUAUUGCACAUUACUAAGUUGCAUGUUGUCACGGCCUCAGUGCAAUUUAGUGUGUGCGAUACUUUCACAUGAGU
ensembl:miRNA